GUGGACGCGGUGCCGUUACUCGCAGUCAGGCGGCGGGGCAGGCUGCGGCGGCGGCACAGCGCACAGCGCGCCUUAGCAGCGGCAGCAGCAGCAUCAGAGGCACCCCGGCCGUCACAGCCCCCGCGCUGGUGCAGCCACCCUCGCUCCCUCUGCUCUUGCUCCCUUCGCUCGCACCAUGGCUGAUCAGCUGACCGAAGAAUAGAUUGCUGAAUUCAAAGAAGCUUUCUCCCUAUUAGAUAAAGAUGGCGAUGGCACCAUCACAACAAAGGAACUUGGAACUGUCAUGAGGUCACUGGGUCAGAACCCAAGGGAAGCUGAGUUGCAGGAUAUGAUCAACGAAGUGGAUGCUGAUGGUAAUGGCACCAUUGACUUCCCCGAAUUUUUGACUAUGAUGGCCAGAAAAAUGAAAGAUACAGAUAGUGAAGAAGAAAUCCGUGAGGCAUUCAAAGUCUUUGACAAGGAUGGCAAUGGGUACAUCAGUGCAGCAGAACUACGUCAGGUCAUGACAAACUUAGGAGAAAAGCUAACAGAUGAAGUAGAUGAAAUGAGCAGAGAAGCAGAUAUUGAUGGAGUUGGGCAAGUCAACUAUGAAGAAUUCGUACAGAUGAUGACUGCAAAAUGAAGACCUACUUUCAACUCCUUUUUCCCCCCUCUAGAAGAAUCAAAUUGAAUCUUUUACUUACCUCUUGCAAAAAAAAGAAAAAAGAAAAAAGUUCAUUUAUUCAUUC